rnacentral:rRNA from 1 species
UUGGAGGGCAAGUCUGGUGCCAGCAGCCGCGGUAAUUCCAGCUCCAAUAGCGUAUAUUAAAGUUGUUGCAGUUAAAAAGCUCGUAGUUGAAUUUCGGGAUUGACGUGAUGGUCAUGCCUUAAGGGGUAUGAGCUGUCACUGUUGAUUCUCACCUUCUGGAGAAACUUGAUGUCCUUUAUUGGGUGUCUUGCGGAUCCAGGACCUUUACCUUGAAAAAAUUAGAGUGUUUAAAGCAGGCAUUUUUGCUCGAAUACAUUAGCAUGGAAUAAUAGAAUAGGACGGCAUGGUUCUAUUUUGUUGGUUUCUAGGAUCACCGUAAUGAUUAAUAGGGAUAGUUGGGGGCAUUAGUAUUCAAUUGUCAGAGGUGAAAUUCUUGGAUUUAUUGAAGACUAACUACUGCGAAAGCAUUUGCCAAGGAUGUUUUCAUUAAUCAAGAACGAAAGUUAGGGGAUCGAAGACGAUCAGAUACCGUCGUAGUCUUAACCAUAAACUAUGCCGACUAGGAAUCAGACGAUGUUAAUUUUUUAAUGACUCGUUUGGCACCUUACGGGAAACCAAAGUGUUUGGGUUC